rnacentral:snRNA from 1 species
GGAUAAUACUUACCUGUUCCUCCUCUUGGAGGGCAGAAUAGAAUGUGAU